AGGACGAACGCUGGCGGCGUGCUUAACACAUGCAAGUCGAGCGGAAAGGCCCUUCGGGGUACUCGAGCGGCGAACGGGUGAGUAACACGUGAGUAAUCUGCCCCUAGCUCUGGGAUAGCUCCGGGAAACCGGGAUUAAUAUCAGAUACGACCACUUUAGACAUCUGCUGUGGUGGAAAGAAUUUCGGCUAGGGAUGAGCUCGCGGCCUAUCAGCUUGUUGGUGAGGUAACGGCUCACCAAGGCGACGACGGGUAGCCGGCCUGAGAGGGCGACCGGCCACACUGGGACUGAGACACGGCCCAGACUCCUACGGGAGGCAGCAGUGGGGAAUAUUGCGCAAUGGGCGAAAGCCUGACGCAGCGACGCCGCGUGGGGAUGAAGGCCUUCGGUUGUAAACCCCUUUCAGCAGGACGAAGCGAAGUGACGGUACCUGCAGAAGAAGCGCCGGCUAACUACGUGCCAGCAGCCGC
rnacentral:rRNA from 1 species